GUCUUCCUGCAGCAGGGGUAACUCUGGGUCUUCCUGCAGCAGAGGUAACUCUGGGUCUUCCUGCAGCAGGGGUAACUCUGGGUCUUCCUGCAGCAGGGGUAACUCUGGGUCUUCCUGCAGCAGGGGUAACUCUGGGUCUUCCUUUCCUGUGACGGUCCUCAUGAGGGACAGUUUCAUCAUAGCGCUAGAUUGUUUUUGUAACUGUACUUGAAGAAACUUUCAAAGUUCUUGACAUUUUCCGUAUUGACUUACCUUCAUGUCUUAAAGUAAUGAUGGACUGUCGUUUCUCUUUGCGUAUUUGAGGUGUUCUUGCCAUAAUAUGGACUUAGCCCUAAUUGGUAAAAGACCAUCUUCUGUAUACCACCCAUACCUUGUCACAACACAACUGAUCGGCUCAAAUGCAUUACGAAGGAAAGAAAUUCCACAAGUUAACUUUUUAACAAGGCACACCUGUCAUUUAAAAUGCAUUCCAGGUGACUACAUCAUGAAGCUGGUUGAGAGAUGCUAAAAGUGUGCAAAGCGGUCAUCAAGGCAAAGGGUGGCUGUUUGAAGAAUCUCAAAUAUAAAAUAUAUUUUGAUUUGUUUAACUUUUUUUUGUUAACUACAUGAUUCCAUAUGUGUUAUUUCAUAUUUUUGAUGUCUUUACUAUUAUUCUACAGAGUAGAACAUUUUACAAAUAUAGAAAAACCCUGGAAUGAGUAGGUGUGUCCAAACUUGUGACUGGUACUGUAUAUGUAUGUAUAUAAUGGUGUGUGUAGAUGUUAUGGACAGUAUAUGUGAGUAGAGAAGGUGUGUACAGCAGUAGUUAAAAACGAUGGGCUAUGACUAGAAUGCAGUAUAUACAUAUGCAGUGGGUAAAACAUGUAAACAUUAUUGAAGUGUCCAGUGAUUAAUGCUUGAAGGGCACUAUGGCGUUAACGGCUGAGCUGUAGUCCAUGAACAGCAUUCUGACAGUUAUUCCUCUUGUCCAGAUGGGAUAGGGCAGUGCCAAUGGUGAUUAUGUCAUCCGUGGAUCUGUUUUUAUUAUUUAACUAGGCAAGUCAGUUAAGAACAAUUUCUUAUUUACAAUGACGGCCUACCGGGGAACAGUGCCUUGUUCAAGGGCAGAACAACAGAUUUUUACCUUGUCAGCUCGGGGAUUCCAUUUAGCAACCUUUCAGUUACUGGCCCAAUGCUCUAAUCACUAGGCUACCUGUGGCUCUACGGUGUUUGGUAAGGUGGAGUUGAUAUGAUCCUUAACUAGCCUCUCAAAGCAUUUUAUGAUGACAGAAGUGAGUGCUAUGGGGCAAUAGUCAUUUAGUUCAUUUUCCUUCACUUUCUUUGGUACCGGAACAAUGGUGGACACCUUGAAGCAAGUGGGGACAUCAGACUGGAAUAGGGAGAGAUUGAACAUGUCCGUAAGCACUCCAGCCAGCUAGUCUGAACAUGCUUUGAGGAUACGGCCAUCUGGGCCAGCAGCCUUAAGAGGGUUAAAUGCCAUGUCUGACACGGAGAAAGAGAGCUCAUACUCCUCGGUGGCCCACAUCAACGGCACUGUGUUUUCCUUGAAGAGGGAGCAGGUGUUUAGCUUGUCCGGGAGUAAGGUGUCAGUGACCGACAUGGCUGGAGACCCUAUCACAUAUGUUUUCAGUUUUGUGCGAAUGCUGCCGUCUCCACGGUUAUUUGUUUUGGAUAAGUUCUAAUCGUAACAGUGGUAACCUCUAUGCACUUCCUGGUGAACCCAGUCAGCAAGUCAGUUUAUACGUCAUUGAACCCAGUCACCAAGUGUAUACGUCAACGUUGUUAGAUUGUUCGACAUUGGUCUGACCAAUCGCAAUCAGGUACAGGUACUUCCUGUUUAAGUUUCUACCUAUAGGAAGGGAGGAGCAGAAGGGAGGCGUGAUCUGAUUUGCCAAAGGCAGGGCGUGGGAGGGACUUGCAACCGUCCUGGGAGGGAGAGUAGCAAUGGUCGAGAAUUCUUGAUUAGCGAGUAGCGCAGGUGAUGUUUUGAUAAAACUUCAGUGGCAUUUUCCUCAGAUUCGCUUUAUUGAAGCUACAAUAAAGGCAGCCUCGGGAUAUGCAAUUUCCAGUUUGUACAAAGUCCAGUGUUUAUUUUAUUUAUUUUUAUUUCACCUUAAUUUAACCAGGUAGGACAGUUGAGAACAAGUUCUCAUUUACAACUGCGACCUGGCCAAGAUAAAGCAAAGCAGCGCAACACAAACAACAACAGAUGGAAUAAAUAAACAUACAGUCAAUAACACAAUAGUAAGUCUAUAUACAGUGUGUGCAAAUGAGGUAGGAUAAAUGAGGCAAGGAAAUAAAUAGCCCAUAGUGGCGAAAUAAUUACAAUUUAGCAAUUAAACCCCCUUGAGUGAUAGAGAUGAGCAGAAGAUGAAUGUGCAAGUAGAGAUACUGGGGUGCAAAGGAGCAAAAAAAUAAAUAAUAUGGGGAUGAGGUAGUUGGGUGAGCAAUUUACAGUUGGGCUAUGUACAGGUGCAAUGAUCUGUAAGCUGCUCCGACAGCUGAUGUCUAUAGUUAGUGAGGGAGAUAUGAGGCAGCAGAGAACUGGAAGGAGAGGCGGCCAAAGGCAGAAUUGGCUUUUGGAGUGACCAGUGAGAUAUAUAUCUGUUGGAGCGCGUGCUACGGGUGGGUGCUGCUAUGGUGACCAGUGAGCUGAGAUAAGGUGGACUCUUUACCUAGCAAAGACUUAUAGAUGACCUGAAGCCAGUGGGUUUGGUGACGAAUAUGAAGCGAAGGCCAGCCAACGAGAGCAUACAGAUCACGGUGGUGGGUAGUAUAUGGGGCUUUGGUGACAAAACAGAUGACAUUGUGAUAGACUGCAUCCAAUUUGUUGGAGGCUAUUUUAUAGAUGACAUUGCCAAAGUCAAGGAUCGGUUGGAUGGUCAGUUUUACCAGGGUAUGUUUGGCAGCAUGAGUGAAGGAUGCUUUGUUUACGAAAUAGGAAGCAGAUUCUAGAUUUAAUUUUGGAUUGGAGAUGCUUAAUAUGAGUCUGGAAGGAGAGUUUACAGUCUAACCAGACACCUAGGUAUUUGUACUUGUCCACAUAUUCUAAGUCAGAACCGUCCAGAGUAGUGAUGCUAGACGGGAGAGCUUUUAGUUUUACUUGCAUUUAAAAGCAGUUGGAGGCCACGGAAGGAGUGUUGUAUUGAAGCUCGUCUGGAGGUUGGUUAACAGUGUCCAAAGAAGGACCAAAAGUAUACAGAAUGGUGUCGUUCCAGUGUAAUUCCUUGAGCCGUCAUGGUCUCAGCUUGAGGGGGAAUAUGAUGUUACUGAUGCCUCUCUGGAAGGAGAGCCCUGAUCUCGUCUUAAGUUAUUGUCCAGGGACUGAACAUUAGGAAGUAAUGUUUCAGGGAAGUCUUAUUUGUGAUGGAAAUGCGGGUGAGUGAUCUAAUAACUAAAAGUAAUUUUUUGGCAGUAGGUAAUAAUACAAGAAACCUUCUGAGAAAAUAAUGUAAGAUAUAACACAAAAACAACUGUACUGUAAAGUUGGCUAGGAGCUAGAAGCAGGGUGACCAUGUCUGUUGGCGCCAUCUUAUUUAUGACUUUGUGGUUGUGGUAACUAGUGAAGACCAGGUACAACUCUGAUAUAAAGGUUUUUUUCUCAAAGUUGCUGGAAUGCCAUGUGCCCUACUUAUAUCAGUACACUCGUAACGACCUAAUCAUUUCAAAACUUGUUCGAUGAAAUAAGCCAUUAAAUAUGUUAACGAAAUUCGCCACUCAUUGACCUCCAUACAAAAACUCCUUUCUUGGUGAGCGACAAAUAUAUAAAAACGCCCCCUGCUGGAGAAGUCUGACUUUAGGCCCUGUUAUCUCUCUUGCUUCAAGUCUUCCUCCUUUUGUGUCCCAAAUGCACCCUAUUCCUUACACUUAUAUAGGAAUAGCGUGCCAUUUGGGAUCAUUCCUUAGCGUGAUAGAUCUAACGCCUGGAUAUGUAUUCUAAGUAUCAGCUCACAUACACUAUAUAUACAAAAGUAUGUGGACACCCCUUUAAAUGAGUGGAUUUGGCUAUUUCAGCCACACCCGUAGCUGACACGUCGAUCACACAGCCAUGCAAUCUCCAUAGACAAACACUGGCAGUAGAAUGGCCUUCCUGAAGGGCUCAGUGACUUUCAACAUGGCACCAUCAUAGGAUACCACCUUUCCAACAAGUCGGUUCGUCAAAUUUGUGUCCUGCUAGAGCUGCCUCUGUCAACUGUAAAUGCUGUUAAUGUGAAGUGAAAACGUCUAGGAGCAACAACGGCUCAGCUGUGAAGUGGUAGGCCACAUCAGCUCACCGAACGGGACCGCCGAGUGCUGAAGCACAUAGAGCGUAAAAAUUCUGUCCUCGGUUGCAACACUCACUACAGAGUUCCAAACUGCCUCUGGAAGCAACAUCAGCACAAUUACUGUUCGGCUGGAGCUUCAUGGAAUUGGUUUCCAUGGCAGAGCAGCCACACACAAGCCUAAGAUCACCAUGUGCAAUGUCAAGCGUCGGCUGGAGUGGUGUAAAGGUCACGGGACAUUGGACUCUGGAGCAGUGGAAACACGUUCUUUGGAGUGAUAAAUCACGCUUCACCAUCAGGCAGUCCAAUCAACAAAGCUGGGUUUGGCAGAUGCCAGAAGAACGCUACCUGCCCGAAUGCAUAGUGCCAACUAAAGUUUGUUGGAGAAGGAAUAAUGGUCUGGGGCUGUUUUUCAUGGUCCGGGCUAGGCCCCUUAGUUCCAUUGAAGGGAAAUCUCAACGCUACAGCAUACAAUGACAUUCUAGACGAUUCUGUGCUUCCAACUUUGUAGCAACAGUUUUGGGGAAGGCCCUUUACUUUUUCAGCAUGAUCAAACACCGUUGGGAUGAAUUGGAACGCUGACUGCGAGCCGAGCCUAAUCGCCCAACAUCAGUGCCCAACCUCACUAAUUCUCUUGUAGCUGAAUGGAAGAAAGACCCCUGCAGCAAUGUUAAAAUAUCUAGUGGAAAGCCUUUCCCAGAAGAGUGGAGGCUGUUAUAGCAGCAAAUACCCAUGAUUUUGGAUUGAGAUGUUCGACAAGCAGGUGUCCACAUACUUUUGGUCAUGUAGUGUAGGUUAUAGCAAUUUGUCAGUCCAUGACACAGUCCAUCACACAGUCCAUCACACAGUCCAUCACACAGUCCAUCACACAGUCCAUCACACAGUCCAUCACACAGUCCAUCACACAGUCCAUCACACAGUCCAUCACACAGUCCAUCACACAGUCCAU
ensembl:lncRNA